UUGGACUUCCAUAUCUGGUAAUGUUGCAGGGAUCACUUAGGAGUUAUAUGAUGGAGUUUGGACUUCCAUAUAUGGUAAAGUUGCAGGGAUCACUUAGAAAUUCUAUGUUGGAUUUUGGACUUUCAGAGCUCCGUAAAGUUGCAGG